GUUAAGUCAGAUGUGAAAUCCCCGGGCUCAACCUGGGAACUGCAUUUGAAACUGGCAAGCUAGAGUCUCGUAGAGGGGGGUAGAAUUCCAGGUGUAGCGGUGAAAUGCGUAGAGAUCUGGAGGAAUACCGGUGGCGAAGGCGGCCCCCUGGACGAAGACUGACGCUCAGGUGCGAAAGCGUGGGGAGCAAACAGGAUUAGAUACCCUGGUAGUCCACGCUGUAAACGAUGUCGAUUUGGAGGUUGUGCCCUUGAGGCGUGGCUUCCGGAGCUAACGCGUUAAAUCGACCGCCUGGGGAGUACGGCCGCAAGGUUAAAACUCAAAUGAAUUGACGGGGGCCCGCACAAGCGGUGGAGCAUGUGGUUUAAUUCGAUGCAACGCGAAGAACCUUACCUACUCUUGACAUCCAGAGAACUUUCCAGAGAUGGAUUGGUGCCUUCGGGAACUCUGAGACAGGUGCUGCAUGGCUGUCGUCAGCUCGUGUUGUGAAAUGUUGGGUUAAGUCCCGCAACGAGCGCAACCCUUAUCCUUUGUUGCCAGCGGUUCGGCCGGGAACUCAAAGGAGACUGCCAGUGAUAAACUGGAGGAAAGUGGGGGAUGACAUCAAGUCAUCAUGG
rnacentral:rRNA from 1 species